rnacentral:RNase_P_RNA from 1 species
AGCAUUGGCCAACAGCUGCUUUUAUUUUAAAAGUAGAGGAAAGUCCACGCUAGCACAACCUGCGAUGGUUGUAGUGUUCAUGCUAGAUCCAAUAAAUCUAGGCUUAGACGACAAGUGCCACAGAGACGAGAAUUGUGAAACGCGGUAAACUCCAUGAGCUAGAAACCCAAAUUUUGGUAGGGGAAUUUUUCUAUAAGAAUUGAAUUUAUGAAAAAAAUCACUAAGUGAUUAGAUAAAUUGUUGGCGCCUGAAAAGGUACAAAACGUGGCUUAUAGAU